rnacentral:siRNA from 1 species
GACUGAUUGGGUUUCGCUUCCA